rnacentral:rRNA from 1 species
GACGUAGGGCGCGAGCGUUGUCCGGAUUUAUUGGGCGUAAAGAGCUCGUAGGCGGCUCGUUGCGUCAACCGUGAAAACCCGGGGCUUAACUUCGGGCUUGCGGUUGAUACGGGCGGGCUGGAGUUCGGUAGGGGAGACUGGAAUUCCUGGUGUAGCGGUGAAAUGCGCAGAUAUCAGGAGGAACACCUAUUGCGAAGGCAGCUCGCUGGGACGUAACUGACGCUCAGACACGACAGCAUGGGGAGCGAACGGG